CUUCCGUGUCAUGUGUUUCCAUGUUCAACUUUAAUUAUUCGUCUUAUUUAAAAUUAUUUUAUUAUUACAAUGUGAUAAAACAUAAUAGUAUUUUAUGCAUGACUUAUGUUUUUAUUUUUUUAAAUAAGACAAAUGAUUGAAGUUGGACAUGAUGCUCUUAAA
rnacentral:pre_miRNA from 1 species